rnacentral:rRNA from 1 species
GACGAACGCUGGCGGCGUGCUUAACACAUGCAAGUCGAACGAAGAGCGAUGGAAGCUUGCUUCUAUCAAUCUUAGUGGCGAACGGGUGAGUAACGCGUAAUCAACCUGCCCUUCAGAGGGGGACAACAGUUGGAAACGACUGCUAAUACCGCAUACGAUCUAAUCUCGGCAUCGAGGAUAGAUGAAAGGUGGCCUCUACAUGUAAGCUAUCACUGAAGGAGGGGAUUGCGUCUGAUUAGCUAGUUGGAGGGGUAACGGCCCACCAAGGCGAUGAUCAGUAGCCGGUCUGAGAGGAUGAACGGCCACAUUGGGACUGAGACACGGCCCAGACUCCUACGGGAGGCAGCAGUGGGGAACCUUCCGCAAUGGACGAAAGUCUGACGGAGCAACGCCGCGUGAGUGAUGACGGCCUUCGGGUUGUAAAGCUCUGUUAAUCGGGACGAAAGGCCUUCUUGCGAAUAGGGAGAAGGAUUGACGGUACCGGAAUAGAAAGCCACGGCUAACUACGUG